UACGGAGGGAGCUAGCGUUGUUCGGAAUUACUGGGCGUAAAGGGCGCGUAGGUGGCGGCCCAAGUCCGUGGUGAAAGCUCGCCGCUUAACGGCGAGUCGGCCACGGAGACUGGGUGGCUCGAGCACUGUAGGGGCAGAUGGAAUUCCGGGUGUAGCGGUGGAAUGCGUAGAGAUCCGGAAGAACACCAGUGGCGAAGGCGGUCUGCUGGGCAGUUGCUGACACUGAGGCGCGACAGCGUGGGGAGCAAACAGG
rnacentral:rRNA from 1 species